rnacentral:lncRNA from 1 species
GAGUGUGAGUGUGUCUCUGUGUGUGUAGGGGUCGAGGUGGGGGGGGUCCGUGUUUGCGAUCUGAACCUUUGGUACCUACAAGGAGGGUGUCUCACCGAACGGUAGCUAAAACCUCACCAGAACCGCGCGGAAGUGAGAAGUCGCGGCCAAAGGCGCCCGCAGAAGCCUCCUCUCUGGGCCGGACCCCAGCCCGAGCGGCCGAAAGGAGCCCCCCGCCCGGAUCACAGAAGUUUACAAGGAAAGGGGAAAUGUCUGAAAUGGAGAUUGCACAAUCCUGUCUUGAAGCAGAAGACUCAGCUAGAGCACAUCUGGAAACACCUGGCACUCCUCAAUAGAAUUCAAAUGCUAUUUUAAAAGAUGUAAAAUCUGAGCUGCAACACUGAACAAAAGCUGUACUUGCCAGCCAGCAAAGAUGCUACCACUCUGCACAACAGAUAAAACCCAUACAUAUAGGGAAGUCAAAAGAGUCUUUAAGCUACAGUGUUUGAGAGGCUGUUUGUCUCUGAUGGAAAAUUAAGAAAAUGGUAAGAGCAGCGUUAGCAUGAGGUGUUCAUUCCAAAUUUGUCACUGCAGUGUGUGUGGCAUUGUGUGCAAAAACAACUCUUCAAGCAAAAACACCUCCAGCAAACUUCCUCCUUCACUUCAAACCUCAUCUUCAAUUACAAUGUGGUUCCUACAAAGUAAAGGGCUGUUGUCCUCUCUUCAGACCUGUGCUGCUUCUGCGCACUAGCCCUGUAGACCAUCAAGGCCUAAAAAUAGCUGCUAGAUUCAAUGAGACAUGAAGCUGACAGAAAUGGCAUCAAGCUAAUUGGCAACAAACUCUAUGAAACCUACUCAGGAAAUCAUAUUUUUAAGCUGAACACCAAGUGGAUUCUUGUUUGAAUGUGAGGCUAACUUAUUUUUAUAUUUAUAUUUCAAAUAAAACAAAGGGGAAUUGUUAAAGAAGAACCUUUUUAUUUCCCUUAUUAUAUAUUUAUUUAAUCCUUUUAAAAGUUUUGUUAACAAAAUCUUUGGAUUCAGUGAUAUUUAUUUGAAAAGAUUGUUAUCCACACAUUAUGAUUAAGAAAGUGGGGCUUAAAGAGGUGCAAUGACAUGUCCUUAGUCAAAACAUAGACAACUUGAUUCUAAUCUAUCAGGAAAGACGACGAUAUUUAUAAGUAACCAGAACACAAAGUGCUAAGUUCAAUACUCAUAUUUUGAAUAACACAAGAAGUAAAAUCCUUUAUUUAAAGAAUCAAAGGGUUAUCAGAAGAGAAGUUAUUGGUGGAUGAUCACAGAGCUAAUAGCCAUAAUUAUACAUGACCUGCUGGAAGAUGGAAAAAACAUAACACAAAUCUUACCAUUUCCUCUGGUAGUUGAUUCAUAAGAAAACUCUUAGGUCUUGAUUGUUUACUUGAGAGUGUUGCUAUUGUUACUCAACUUAUUUAAAAAAAAAAUGGAAAAGUUAGUUUUGGUGGCUGUUGUUGUCUGGAAGAAAUAGACUAUAUUCAAAAUAAAAAUUGCCUGAAUAAGUCAACAUGAUUGCAUAAUUUUUCAAAUGUUGAUUCCUAAUACACAGAUUGUAAGGAUUCAGUUCACUGGAUGAGAUGUUGUUUUUAGAAAUGAUCUGCCUUCUCUGUUCAUUCACAUUCAAUUCAAGAAGUAGGAAAUUAUUC